AUACGUAGGGCGCGAGCGUUGUCCGGAUUUACUGGGUGUAAAGGGUGCGUAGGCGGCUCUGCAAGUCAGGUGUGAAACCCAUCGGCUUAACUGAUGGACUGCAUUUGAAACUGUGGGGCUUGAGUGGAGUAGAGGCAGACGGAAUUCCCGGUGUAGCGGUGAAAUGCGUAGAGAUCGGGAAGAACACCAGUGGCGAAGGCGGUCUGCUGGGCUCUAACCGACGCUGAGGCACGAAAGCAUGGGUAGCAAACAGGAUUAGAUACCCUGGUAGUCCAUGCCGUAAACGAUGAUUACUAGGUGUGGGGAGUCUGACCCUCUCCGUGCCGGAGUUAACACAAUAAGUAAUCCACCUGGGGAGUACGGCCGCAAGGUUGAA
rnacentral:rRNA from 1 species